rnacentral:tRNA from 1 species
GCGGAUAUAGCUCAAUGGUAGAGUUUUAGUCUUCCAAACUAACAGUGAGAGUUCGAGUCUCUCUAUCCGCU